GGUUGGUCAUAAAGGGAGUAAUACUCAACCUCAUCCUGCUCUUCAGACAGUUCUCCAUCUUCUUCAGCUCCAUCAUCAACCGUAAGAGGUGCGUGAUCACGUUUCUGUCUGGACUUGGACUCCCUGGGAUGUAAUUCUUUGACAGUGGAUGGGAAAAAUCCACAUGGCAAAAUGUACCCAGCAUCUCAAGAAGUGUCCUGUUAAACCGCUCCACAGGAUUUCCACUUGGGUGGCUCCAGUGAAAGAUAGUCCAUACAGACCAACUGCAAAGGACGGCUUGUUUUUAUAUUCACCAG